GCAAAGUGCGGCAUGCUUACACAUGCAAGUCGGACGAAGUCUUCGGACUUAGUGGCGCACNGGGUGAGUAACAUGUGGGAAUCUACCUAAAGGUUCGGGAUAACUGCGGGAAACUGUAGCUAAUACCGGAUGUGUCUGCAAAGAGAAAGAUUUAUCGCCUUUAGAUGAGCCCGCACUAGAUUAGUUUGUUGGUGAGGUAAAAGCUCCACCAAGACUACGAUCUAUAGCUGAUUUGAGAGGAUGAUCAGCCACACUGGGACUGAGACACGGCCCAGACUCCUACGGGAGGCAGCAGUGGGGAAUAUUGGACAAUGGGGGAAACCCUGAUCCAGCAAUGCCGCGUGAGUGAAGAAGGCCCUCGGGUUGUAAAACUCUUUCAUCAAUGAAGAUAAUGACAUUAAUUGAAGAAGAAGCUCCGGCUAACUCCGUGCCAGCAGCCGCGGUAAUACGGAGGGGGCUAGCGUUGUUCGGAAUUACUGGGCGUAAAGCGUAUGUAGGCGGAUCAAAAAGUUAGAUGUGAAAUCCCUGAGCUUAACUCAGGAACUGCAUUUAAAACUAAUGAUCUAGAAUUUGGUAGAGGAUAGUAGAAUUUCCAGUGUAGAGGUGAAAUUCGUAGAUAUUGGAAAGAAUACCAGUGGCGAAGGCGACUGUCUGGGCCAUUUUUGACGCUGAGAUACGAAAGCGUGGGUAGCAAACAGGAUUAGAUACCCUGGUAGUCCACGCAGUAAACGAUGAGUGCUAGUCGCUGGAUCAAUAGGUUCGGUGUCGAAGCUAACGCAUUAAGCACUCCGCCUGGGAAGUACGGUCGCAAGAUUAAAACUCAAAUAAAUUGACGGGGGCCCGCACAAGCGGUGGAGCAUGUGGUUUAAUUCGAAGCAACGCGAAGAACCUUACCAGUCCUUGACAUGGUGUGUUUGAAUUACAGUAUUGUAAUUCUUCAGUUCGGCUGGCACACACACAGGUGCUGCAUGGCUGUCGUCAGCUCGUGUCGUGAGAUGUUGGGUUAAGUCCCGCAACGAGCGCAACCCUCAUUUUUAGUUGCCAUCAGGUUAAGCUGGGCACUCUAAAAAAACUGCCGGUGAUAAGCUGGAGGAAGGCGGGGAUGACGUCAAGUCCUCAUGGCCCUUACGGACUGGGCUACACACGUGCUACAAUGGGCGGUACAAAGAGUCGCAAGACCGCGAGGUGGAGCUAAUCUCAUAAAGCCGGUCUCAGUUCGGAUUGGAGUCUGCAACUCGACUCCAUGAAGUUGGAAUCGCUAGUAAUCGUAGAUCAGCAUGCUACGGUGAAUACGUUCCCGGGCCUUGUACACACCGCCCGUCACACCAUGAAAGCCGAUUGUACUAGAAGUCAUGAUGCCAACCUUCGGGAGGCUAGUGCCUAAAAGUAGGCAGG
rnacentral:rRNA from 1 species